CGGACGGGUGAGUAACGCGUGGGCAACCUGCCCCGCACUCGGGGACGAACAGCUGGAAACGGCUGCUAAUACCGCAUAGGCGCACAGCCUCACAUGAGGCAGUGUGGAAAACUCCGGUGGUGCGGGAUGGGCCCGCGUCUGAUUAGCUGGUUGGCGGGGUAACGGCCCACCAAGGCAACGAUCAGUAGCCGGCCUGAGAGGGUGGACGGCCACAUUGGGACUGAGACACGGCCCAGACUCCUACGGGAGGCAGCAG
rnacentral:rRNA from 1 species